rfam:Camelus ferus unplaced genomic scaffold scaffold1159, whole genome shotgun sequence.
GGAGGGCACAGCUCAGCGGUAGAGCACGUGCUUAGCAGGCACGAGGGCCUGAGUUCAGUCCCCAGCCCCUCCA